AGGGUUCGAUCAUGGCUCAGGACGAACGCUGGCGGCGCGCCUAACACAUGCAAGUCGAACGAGCGAGAGAGAGCUUGCUUUCUCAAGCGAGUGGCGAACGGGUGAGUAACGCGUGAGGAACCUGCCUCAAAGAGGGGGACAACAGUUGGAAACGACUGCUAAUACCGCAUAAGCCCACAGGUCGGCAUCGACCAGAGGGAAAAGGAGCAAUCCGCUUUGAGAUGGCCUCGCGUCCGAUUAGCUAGUUGGUGAGGUAAUGGCCCACCAAGGCGACGAUCGGUAGCCGGACUGAGAGGUUGAACGGCCACAUUGGGACUGAGACACGGCCCAG
rnacentral:rRNA from 1 species